rnacentral:rRNA from 1 species
UCGUCCUCGGGACAUUAAGGUGCUCUGGUYGAGGAUAAAYGACCCCUCUGACCGAGGUCAAACCCGUCGCUCUGUGUUACCUCYAAAAAUUUUUUUUCCGAGGCACACCUUAAAGAUCGUUCCGCAUUGYGAGUCUAACACCAGUUGUAUAAACUUUUUACAACCGGUAGCGCUGGAUCCCUUGGCACGUCAUUCGAUGAAGACCGUUGCAAAUUGCGAUAAAGUGAUGUGAUGCGCAAGUCCACCACUUAUACGUGAAUCAUCGAGUUGUUGAACGCAUUGCACCGCGCCCUAAUCCGGCUGCGGUAUGCCCCUUUGAGCGUCAUUGUAUUCCUUCGGGAGUCCUUUUACAAGGACCCGAGUUCGGAGUCCUCGGUCCCCUGUGGAUCGUGUUCUCUCAGAUCCCUCGCACCGAUCGCCUGAUGCGUCCUCUAAUGCCUAAGCGUGGAGUUCCUUCAGAGUCCGASASGUGCUUGACCGAGUCUUGAGCUCGUGUCACCAAGUCYGCCUAMCAGCRGUACUACAACRCAUGACCUCAUUGGGGUAGGACAACCCGCUAGACUUAAGCAUAUUAAUCAGCGGAGGAAAAGAAACUAACCAGGAUUCCCUCAGUAACUGCGAGUGAAGCGGGAUCGGCUCAAUGUGUGAAUCUGGCUUGGGGUACAUCCCGGGUUCGAGUUGUGCACUAUGGAUGCUUCGUCUGCGUUUGUAAAGGCGGUGGAAGUCCGUUGAAACACGGCACCUCAGAGGGUCACAGUCCUGUACCACCUGCCUGCACUCGCGCCAAUGACAAGUGCUCCUCGAGUCGCGUAGUUUUGUAAUGCUGCGCCAAGUGGGAGGUAGAGACCUUCUAAGGCUAAAUAUGAUGACGUGACCGAUAGCACACAAGUACCGCGA